GCUUAACACAUGCAAGUCGAGCGAUCCCUUCGGGGAUAGCGGCGGACGGGUGAGUAACGCGUGGGAACGUGCCCUUCACUACGGAAUAGCCCAUGGAAACGUGGAUUAAUACCGUAUACGCCCUUCGGGGGAAAGAAUUUCGGUGAGGGAUCGGCCCGCGUCUGAUUAGGUAGUUGGUGGGGUAAUGGCCUACCAAGCCGACGAUCAGUAGCUGGUUUUAGAGGAUGAUCAGCCACACUGGGACUGAGACACGGCCCAGACUCCUACGGGAGGCAGCAGUGGGGAAUCUUAGACAAUGGGGGCAACCCUGAUCUAGCCAUGCCGCGUGAGUGAUGAAGGUCUUAGGAUCGUAAAGCUCUUUCGCCUGUGAUGAUAAUGACAGUAGCAGGUAAAGAAACCCCGGCUAACUCCGUGCCAGCAGCCGCGGUAAUACGGAGGGGGUUAGCGUUGUUCGGAAUUACUGGGCGUAAAGCGCGCGUAGGCGGACUGGAAAGUUGGGGGUGAAAUCCCGGGGCUCAACCCCGGAACUGCCUUCAAAACUAUCAGUCUAGAGUUCGAGAGAGGUGAGUGGAAUUGCGAGUGUAGAGGUGAAAUUCGUAGAUAUUCGCAGGAACACCAGUGGCGAAGGCGGCUCACUGGCUCGAUACUGACGCUGAGGUGCGAAAGUGUGGGGAGCAAACAGGAUUAGAUACCCUGGUAGUCC
rnacentral:rRNA from 1 species